rnacentral:sRNA from 1 species
GUAGUCCACACAUACAAUAAUGAGGGAAUCAUAAACAUCAUCCACAAGCAAUGCCUAUAUCAAACAAGCUUUGUCAAAAAGCUUCAAACUUCAACAUAGCAAUACAAAGAACUAUUUAGAUACUUUCGCGUGGAUCAGUCAAGGAGGUCUUUGAUCAGUGCAGGACUUAUGAGGGCAGCUAAUUGAUGAUAAAGAAGCACAAGGAGACCAAUGUAUAUAGGGAGAAUUCUAGAUUGGCAAUCAAUAAUAGAAAGCAACCCCAAGCCUUUAAAAAUCGACCCAUCAGAUUGCACACACAAGCACGUGGUGAAUCAGGUUCAUUGUUGGAGAGGUUGCGGAGCCACAGAUGCCAUGACUCAAGGCAUGGACAAGGGCCCUCUCCUAUUAAGUUAAAAAAUUGUCUCCUCGAAACUAAAUUAAAAUCAAAAGCUACACACUUUACUCAUAACCUACUCAGACCUUUUACUUAACAUUCAUCAUCUCCACCA